UGCAUAUCAAAAUAAGCGGAGGAAAAGAAACCAACAGGGAUUGCCUUAGUAGCGGCGAGUGAAGCGGCAAAAGCUCAAAUUUGAAAUCUGGCACUUUCAGUGUCCGAGUUGUAAUUUGAAGAAGGUAUCUUUGGGUCUGGCUCUUGUCUAUGUUUCUUGGAACAGAACGUCACAGAGGGUGAGAAUCCCGUGCGAUGAGAUGUCCCAGACCUAUGUAAAGUUCCUUCGAAGAGUCGAGUUGUUUGGGAAUGCAGCUCUAAGUGGGUGGUAAAUUCCAUCUAAAGCUAAAUAUUGGCGAGAGACCGAUAGCGAACAAGUACAGUGAUGGAAAGAUGAAAAGAACUUUGAAAAGAGAGUGAAAAAGUACGUGAAAUUGUUGAAAGGGAAGGGCUUGAGAUCAGACUUGGUAUUUUGUAUGUUACUCUCUCGGGGGUGGCCUCUACAGUUUACCGGGCCAGCAUCAGUUUGAGCGGUAGGAUAAGUGCAAAGAAAUGUGGCACUGCUUCGGUAGUGUGUUAUAGUCUUUGUCGAUACUGCCAGCUUAGACUGAGGACUGCGGCUUCGGCCUAGGAUGUUGGCAUAAUGAUCUUAAGUCGCCCGUCUUGAACAACGG
rnacentral:rRNA from 1 species